rnacentral:rRNA from 1 species
GACGAACGCUGGCGGCGUGCUUAACACAUGCAAGUCGAACGGAAAGGGCCUGCUUUUGUGGGGUGCUCGAGUUGCGAACGGGUGAGUAACGCGUGGGUAACCUGCCCGUUACUUUGGGAUAACUAUAGGAAACUGUGGCUAAUACCGGAUAAUAGCACUUGCUGCAUGGUGAGGGUUUGAAAGGUUCGGCGGUUGGGGUUGGACUCGCGGCUGAGCAGCUUGUGGGUGGGGGAGUGGCAUACCAAGGCCUUGACGGGUAGCCGGCCUGAGAGGGUGACCGGCCACAUUGGGACUGAGAUACGGCCCAGACUGCUACGGGAGGCAGCAGUGGGGAAUAUUGCACAAUGGGCGGAAGCCUGAUGCAGCAACGCCGCGUGCGGGAGGACGGCUGUAGGGGUGUAACCCGUGUGCGCCUGGGACGAAGAGUGAGUGACGGUAAUGGGUAAGGAAGCAACGGCUAACUACGUG